CUGGUCCCUCUUGCAGAGACACGCACGGAGGUCUCAUGUCACUUGACUCUGAAUGUGAAAUAAGACACAAUUUUCCUUUUUCUGUUUCAGUUAUCUCAGGGAUCUCCAGAACCAAUUGAGCCCAGCUUUUUCACAGCAGAUUACCAUUUAUUGCAUCAUUCGUCAAGUGAAAACAUCCUGUCCCCAAAUAACUCAACAGGUCUACCCCCCAGCUUUGAUCUGGAGGAGGGCAUCACGUAUGCACAGAUGCAGACUGUGAUUGAAGAAGUCCUAGAGGAAAGUGGGUAUUACAAUUUGAUUUCUAACAGGUAUCACUCCUAUCCCUGGGGCAACA